AUGUUUAUAGCCAUAUAUGCUGUUCUCUUCUCUUUGGUCUCAGAAGCUGUUCUGGGAGUGACACUGGAGCAAAAGGAUCUCUCCAUGACAAAACAGGCAGGUAAAAGUGCGUAUAUCAGCUGUAAAGUGACCGGAUUAUCCACAGACUAUGUUCACUGGUACCAAAAGAAAGAUGGCGAAGCUUUCACAAGGAUCCUGUAUGUCAAAAAAGGUAGCCCACAUGUUCCUGAUAAUAACCAUCCUGAAGCCAAGGACUUUAGUGUGAAGAUACAGAAUGAUGAUUAUGAACUGAAGAUAGCAAAAGAGACGCCAUCUUCAUGGGACAGUCCGUAA